CUCCGCCGGCCUUGUCGAGGACUCCACAACGAAAAAGGAUCCGCGAAUUUAGUAUGGCCGACCUCAAACUCCGCCGGCAUCUCGAGAACCGUGGGCGAAUGGCAACGGCAGUGGAGGUGAAAGCACGGGCGAUUACAGUAGAGGCGGCCGCCAAACCAAACUCCUGUCUGUACCCUGGUGCCCUGCAGUUGCAGGCGAGAUGCUGCGGCGGAGGUGUGUAACGGGUUGACUACGGAAGUGGCGGCAGAUUCGAGCGUGGUGGUCAUGAGGUUGGAGUUGCACUCGGAUCAGAGUUGGUCCAACCAUGGUGGAUACGGUACUUCCAUCCUGGAGCUCAGGGAUAGCAUUACGUGUUAAAUAAUUUUUGGCUCAUAUUUGUCCAACCUGGCCACCAAUAACUGCAUGAGAAUUAAAUGGUUUUGGCUCAUAUUUGUUGCCCCAAGGUUAAGCAUAUCCUCCCCAACUAUGGCAGCCUGACAGGGGGUACAAGGCCACGCUCGAGGACGGCAACCUGGUGGCUGUCAAGCGCCUUAGGGAGAAGAUCACCAAGGGACACAAGGACUUUGAGGCCGAGGCGGCGGUGCUCAGCAGGAUCCGCCACCCCAACCUGCUGGCUCUCAGGGCCUGCUACCUGGGGCCCAAGGGGGAGAAGCUGCUUGUCUUCGAUUACAUGCCCAAGGGCAGCCUCACCUCAUUUUUGCACGCUCGCGCUCCGAACACGCCGGUGGACUGGGCGAUGCGGAUGACAAUCGCCAAGGGCACAGCCCGUGGCCUGGCCUACCUCCACAAUGACAUGAGCAUCGUGCACGGCAAUCUGACCGCCAGCAAUGUCCUCCUCGAGGAGCAAUGCAACCCCAAGAUCCCCAACUUCGGGUUAGCUAGAAUGGCACAAGAAAUUUUACUUCUGUACAAGCUUUGCUUGCUAUGGUCAUGUAGUGCCUUGAUGUAAACAAACAUAUAUUAUGUUUAUCCUCGGGGAAAUAUUUGACAUAAACAA